UACAGAGGGGGCAAGCGUUGUUCGGAAUUACUGGGCGUAAAGGGCGCGUAGGCGGCCCUCUAAGUCAGACGUGAAAUCCCUCGGCUCAACCGGGGAACUGCGUCUGAGACUGGAAGGCUUGAAUUCGGGAGAGGGAUGUGGAAUUCCAGGUGUAGCGGUGAAAUGCGUAGAUAUCUGGAGGAACACCGGUGGCGAAGGCGGCAUCCUGGACCGAUAUUGACGCUGAGGAGCGAAAGCGUGGGGAGCGAACGAGG
rnacentral:rRNA from 1 species